GAUGAACGCUGGCGGCGUGCCUAAUACAUGCAAGUCGAGCGAACGGACGAGAAGCUUGCUUCUCUGAUGUUAGCGGCGGACGGGUGAGUAACACGUGGAUAACCUACCUAUAAGACUGGGAUAACUUCGGGAAACCGUAGCUAAUACCGGAUAAUAUUUUGAACCGCAUGGUUCAAAAGUGAAAGACGGUCUUUCUGACACUUAUAGAUGGAUCCGCGCUGCAUUAGCUAGUUGGUAAGGUAACGGCUUACCAAGGCAACGAUGCAUAGCCGACCUGAGCGGGUGAUCCGCCACACGGGAUCUGAGGAACGGUCCAGACUCCUACGGGAGGCAGCAGUAGGGAAUCUUACGCGAUGGGCGAAAGCCUGACGGAGCAACGCCGCGUGAGUGAUGAAGGUCUUCGGAUCGUAAAACUCUGUUAUUAGGGAAGAACAUAUGUGUAAGUAACUGUGCACAUCUUGACGGUACCUAAUCAGAAAGCCACGGCUAACUACGUG
rnacentral:rRNA from 1 species